CAACAUGACCUUCAUCAUCAUCUUCAUCUGGACUCUCACAGCGUUUGCUCAAGAGAGUAGAGGACAGAUCAGCGUCACUCAGAGUCCCUCAACAGCAGCUCAACCAGGAGAAACAGUGAAGAUCAGCUGCAAAACCAGCACUGAUGUGUACAUGGAUAGUUCACAGCGUCAUUAUACCAGCUGGUACUUACAGAAGCCUGGAGAAGCUCCUAAACUCCUGAUUUAUUUUGCUAAAGAUCUCUACACUGGAACUCCAUCUAGAUUCAGUGGCAGUGGAUCUAACAGUGAUUUCACUCUGACCAUCAGUCGAGUCCAGACUGAAGAUGAUGGACAUUAUUACUGUCUGGGUCGCCACGAUAUCGGCGGCACAACUUUCACACAGUGAUAAAGCAUCGUACA